rnacentral:rRNA from 1 species
GAUGAACGCGGGCGGCGUGCCUAAUACAUGCAAGUCGAGCGAACAGACGAGGAGCUUGCUCCUCUGACGUUAGCGGCGGACGGGUGAGUAACACGUGGAUAACCUACCUAUAAGACUGGGAUAACUUCGGGAAACCGGAGCUAAUACCGGAUAAUAUAUUGAACCGCAUGGUUCAAUAGUGAAAGACGGUUUUGCUGUCACUUAUAGAUGGAUCCGCGCCGCAUUAGCUAGUUGGUAAGGUAACGGCUUACCAAGGCGACGAUGCGUAGCCGACCUGAGAGGGUGAUCGGCCACACUGGAACUGAGACACGGUCCAGACUCCUACGGGAGGCAGCAGUAGGGAAUCUUCCGCAAAGGGCGAAAGCCUGACGGAGCAACGCCGCGUGAGUGAUGAAGGUCUUCGGAUCGUAAAACUCUGUUAUUAGGGAAGAACAAAUGUGUAAGUAACUAUGCACGUCUUGACGGUACCUAAUCAGAAAGCCACGGCUAACUACGUG